AGUCAAUAGAUACCCGGGUAGUCCACGCCGUAAACGAUGAUGACUAGCUGUCGGGGCGCUUGGCGUUUCGGUGGCGCAGCUAACGCGUUAAGUCAUCCGCCUGGGGAGUACGGCCGCAAGGUUAAAACUCAAAGAAAUUGACGGGGGCCUGCACAAGCGGUGGAGCAUGUGGUUUAAUUCGAAGCAACGCGCAGAACCUUACCAGCGUUUGACAUGGUAGGACGGUUUCCAGAGAUGGAUUCCUUCCCUUACGGGACCUACACACAGGUGCUGCAUGGCUGUCGUCAGCUCGUGUCGUGAGAU
rnacentral:rRNA from 1 species